rnacentral:rRNA from 1 species
CNUGCAGUCGAGCGGACAGAAGGGAGCUUGCUCCCGGAUGUUAGCGGCGGACGGGUGAGUAACACGUGGGUAACCUGCCUGUAAGACUGGGAUAACUCCGGGAAACCGGAGCUAAUACCGGAUAGUUCCUUGAACCGCAUGGUUCAAGGAUGAAAGACGGUUUCGGCUGUCACUUACAGAUGGACCCGCGGCGCAUUAGCUAGUUGGUGAGGUAACGGCUCACCAAGGCGACGAUGCGUAGCCGACCUGAGAGGGUGAUCGGCCACACUGGGACUGAGACACGGCCCAGACUCCUACGGGAGGCAGCAGUAGGGAAUCUUCCGCAAUGGACGAAAGUCUGACGGAGCAACGCCGCGUGAGUGAUGAAGGUUUUCGGAUCGUAAAGCUCUGUUGUUAGGGAAGAACAAGUGCAAGAGUAACUGCUUGCACCUUGACGGUACCUAACCAGAAAGCCACGGCUAACUACGUGCCAGCAGCCGCGGUAAUACGUAGGUGGCAAGCGUUGUCCGGAAUUAUUGGGCGUAAAGGGCUCGCAGGCGGUUUCUUAAGUCUGAUGUGANAGCCCCCGGCNCAACCGGGGAGGGUCAUUGGAAACUGGAAACUUGAGUGCANANGAGGAAUUGNAAUUUCCUUUGUAUCGGUCUAUAUUGUGUAUAAAA